rnacentral:ncRNA from 2 species
AAAUUAGAUAGAGGUUGCGUGGUUCAUAAGUAGUUUACUGGAUGUGGCAGGCACAGGGGAUAGUAAAUGAAAGGGGAGGGCGCCGAAAGAAUUUCUUUUCCUGAGGGGGGAUUCUUGGGCAUAUAGUGAACAAUUAUAUGACUGUCAUCUUGCGAUGGAUGGAGCGCUAUCAGAUUA